AUGGUAGAUGAUUAACUGGCUCAAUCGCUCCCUUUGGGUGGGAGAUCUAGCGUGUUCGAGUCGCGCCUACCAUA
rnacentral:tRNA from 2 species